CGCGUGGGAAUCUACCUAGUAGUGGGGGACAACGUUCGGAAACGGGCGCUAAUACCGCAUACGCCCUACGGGGGAAAGCGGGGGAUCUUCGGACCUCGUGCUAUUAGAUGAGCCCGCGUAAGAUUAGCUAGUUGGUGGGGUAAAGGCCUACCAAGGCGACGAUCUUUAGCUGGUCUGAGAGGAUGAUCAGCCACAUUGGGACUGAGACACGGUCCAGACUCCUACGGGAGGCAGCAGUGGGGAAUAUUGCACAAUGGGCGAAAGCCUGAUGCAGCCAUGCCGCGUGUGUGAAGAAGGCUC
rnacentral:rRNA from 1 species